rnacentral:rRNA from 1 species
GGCGCAAGCCUGAUCCAGCCAUGCCGCGUGAGUGAAGAAGGCCUUCGGGUUGUAAACUGCUUUUGGCAGGAAAGAAAUCGUCAGGGCUAAUACACCUGGAUGAUGACGGUACCUGAAGAAUAAGCACCGGCUAACUACGUGCCAGCAGCCGCGGUAAUACGUAGGGUGCGAGCGUUAAUCGGAAUUACUGGGCGUAAAGCGUGCGCAGGCGGUUUUGUAAGACAGGUGUGAAAUCCCCGGGCUCAACCUGGGAACUGCGUUUGUGACUGCACGGCUAGAGUAUGGCAGAGGGGGAUGGAAUUCCACGUGUAGCAGUGAAAUGCGUAGAUAUGUGGAGGAACACCGAUGGCGAAGGCAAUCCCCUGGGCCUGUACUGACGCUCAUGCACGAAAGCGUGGGGAGCAAACAGGAUUAGAUACCCUGGUAGUCCACGCCCUAAACGAUGUCAACUGGGUGUUGGACGACGAGAUGCUCUGUAUAGAACCUCACACGUGAGAUUUACAGCGUGGGGAGUGUAGCGGCGCGGUAGAAACUCUCAGA